GCCUUAGAGGAUGGUCCGUGGAUGUUUGAUAAAGAUCUAGUGGUGGUGGAGGAUUAUGAUCCAGGAAAAAGAAUUGAGGAUUAUGAGUUCAAUGACAUCCCAAUCUGGGUAAGAAUAUUCAAUCUUCCCCUUGGUAUGAUGCACGAGGAUUCAGCAGAGGAGAUAGGGAAUGUAAUCGAGAGAUAUGUGGAGGUGGAUGCCGGAGUGGAUGGGAAAGCUAUUGGUAAAUUCUUGAGAGUGAAUGUCAGGAUGAAUAUCGACAAACCAAUCAUGAGGGGUUUCACUUUGGAUGAUGAGGAUAGCAAUGGAGCACAGAAGAGGAAGAAAAAGAUGAGCAUAGACGGAAAGGAGGAAGAAGAGGAGGAGGGGCUUUGGUGUUGGUUUGAGUACGAAUUCCUCCCUGACUUUUGCUACACAUGUGGCCUCAUCAGUCAUGUCGCGAAGGAGUGCUCUACCAGAGUAAACAAAGGAAAGAACUCCCAAUUUGGUCCUUGGCUAAGAGCAGAUAUCAAAAGAAGGAGGUUUAGCGGUGAGGAUGACCACAGUUGGAAGGGGAAAGGAGGUAGCGCGGGAGGAAGCAGAUUCUAUGGCCAUAGUCGCUUGAGCGGCAGGUCGGGAAGCGGGAGUGGUAGCGAUAGCUUGUCCUGGAGGAAGGGAGAGGGACUGAAUAAUGGUAUGAAAGGAGGCAGAGUGGAGGGUGGGGAAGAAGUGACGAGUCCCACAAAGCUCCUAAGUUACUGA
rnacentral:rRNA from 1 species